GACGAACGCUGGCGGCGUGCCUAACACAUGCAAGUCGAGCGGGGAUUUAAGUGGAAGUUCUUCGGAAUGGAGAUUUAAAUUCUAGCGGCGGACGGGUGAGUAACGCGUGAACAAUCUGUCCCGGACAGGGGGAUAACACUUGGAAACAGGUGCUAAUACCGCAUAAGACCACGGCCUCGCAUGGGGCUGAGGUAAAAGGAGCAAUCCGGUUCGGGGUGAGUUCGCGUCCGAUUAGCUAGUUGGUGAGGUAACGGCCCACCAAGGCGACGAUCGGUAGCCGGCCUGAGAGGGUGAACGGCCACAUUGGAACUGAGAGACGGUCCAAACUCCUACGGGAGGCAGCAGUGGGGAAUAUUGGGCAAUGGGCGAAAGCCUGACCCAGCAACGCCGCGUGAGGGAAGAAGGUUUUCGGAUUGUAAACCUCUGUCCUAUGGGGCGAAGGAAGUGACGGUACCAUAGGAGGAAGCCCCGGCUAACUACGUG
rnacentral:rRNA from 1 species